rnacentral:rRNA from 1 species
UUGGAGGGCAAGUCUGGUGCCAGCAGCCGCGGUAAUUCCAGCUCCAAUAGCGUAUAUUAAAGUUGUUGCAGUUAAAAAGCUCGUAGUUGAAUUUCGGGAUCAAUUUGCUGGUCAUGCCUCUGGUACGUACUGGUAUUAUUGGUUUCUCCCUUCUGACGAACCAUGAUGUCAUUAAUUUGAUGUCGUGGAGAAUCAGGACUGUUACUUUGAAAAAAUUAGAGUGUUUAAAGCAGGCAUUAGCUUGAAUACAUUAGCACGGAAUAAUGAAAUAGGACGUUUGAUCCUAUUUUGUUGGUUUCUAGGAUUGACGUAAUGAUUAAUAGGGAUAGUUGGGGGCAUUAGUAUUCAAUUGUCAGAGGUGAAAUUCUUGGAUUUAUUGAAGACUAACUACUGCGAAAGCAUUUGCCAAGGAUGUUUUCAUUAAUCAAGAACGAAAGUUAGGGGAUCGAAGACGAUCAGAUACCGUCGUAGUCUUAACCAUAAACUAUGCCGACUAGGGAUCGGAUGAUGUUAAUUUUUUAAUGACUCAUUCGGCGCCUUACGGGAAACCAAAGUGUUUGGGUUC